CAUAUAUGGGUGAUAAAGAUGUUAACAACGAACGAACACAUACCGUAUUCAUUUGGCAAACACGAAGACAGUAGCAACAUUCAUUAAUUGAUGCAAUUUCUAGGCAUACAGUGAACAACUCCAUUGUAGCAAACAUCUUAAUUUUUAGCCCAGUAACUUCCCUAAUUACAAAAGAUUUGAUUUUUUUUUCUGCUCCUUCCCGGAAUUGAACCUGGGUUUGCGCCGCCAGAGCCUGACACUUUGCGCGCUGGACCACACCGCUUUCUUGUGACCCAUUGUGCAGUCAAAGUAUUUAAGCUACGUCGCGGAUGCAUACAAUCCUUAAUAGAUCGAAAACUAUUAGUUUGCGACUCCUACGUGUAUAAGUGAAAAUUAAUUGUUCCUUCGAGAUCUACGGGUACCUCUUGGUUUAAAGCUCAUCCAAUGUCAUGGCCUUCGACCUCGAAUUUUCCAUAAACGGACAAAUAUCUGUAUAAUUGCCCAAACAUGACUGAAUCUAAUAGUAUAUUCACAAAAAAUAGAAAUAGUUUUUGUCGCUUUUGUGAAGAAGUUACAAUAGACAUACAGAAAUACAACAAAGUUCACAGUGAAUAUAAUGGGGAUUAAUAAAUUUGAAUAAACCAAACCCAAUUAUUUGCUCUGCCGCGGUAAAAUAUCUUGUUGACCAAUUAAACGCACCGAGGGACGUUUCCUUGUAAGUUAUCAGAUAUAGCGGGCUUUGACCUGUUGAAAUCGCUGAUCGAAUGAGAGAUUAGCCUCUCAAGGAAGCGAUAAUACGUUGCUUCUGAUAAGCAACUGGUCCAACUUUUCGGGACACACCGAUUUAUUUUACGAAAGCAGGUUGUAUGAAUUACAAAUAAAUUGAUACUAUUCGAUAAUGUA